AUGUCUUUGCGAACCUCGUUGGAGAGGCGAGUUCUCCCACUAGCUGCCCGGGCCAGCCCGAUGUUUGCUUAUACGGGGCUCGAGGAUUCGAUGUGUGUCACCGUGGAGGAGCUCAACAAAGAUGAAGCGGGCCUGUGUCCACGCUUUGACGGAGUUGGUGCUAGACAAGUUCCCUUCGAUGUCAUCGUGGAGCCCUUCCACUCCGGCAACGCGCCUGCCAAUGGAAGUUUUCAAUCGCAUUUCCUUUCGUCGUUAAGUGUCUUUACUUUCUACCCCCUUCUGACUUCUCGAGACCAUUUAGGAGCUUGCGGGCUUCAUCGCUUUCAUGUUGGAGCCCCUGUUGCCGGGGUAGGCUUGGACCCGAUGAUGGCGAAGAUGCUAGAGCCAGAGCCGAAGAGGGCCCCCGUAGCCCGUUGCUCGCCUACCAAGAAAAGGAAGAUCGUCACACACCCAAGGAGGAAGAGGGCAAUGAUGACGAUGGUGACGAGGAGGAAGGAGAUGACAAGGAGGAAGACCAAAAAGGGCCCUCCACAGAGGAAUGUAACUCUGAGAAAGAAGUUUGGUGGCUUCACUGGCAUGGGGUCGGAAGAGGGGCCGCAGAGAGGAAACUUUUGCAGGCCCGGCGUUGCUGGAGCGAGAGCCUCAGCUAGGUUCUUCAAGGAUCCGUGA
rnacentral:rRNA from 1 species